rnacentral:rRNA from 1 species
AGCGAACGCUGGCGGCAGGCCUAACACAUGCAAGUCGAACGAAGUCUUCGGACUUAGUGGCGGACGGGUGAGUAACACGUGGGAACGUGCCUUUAGGUUCGGAAUAACUCAGGGAAACUUGUGCUAAUACCGAAUGUGCCCUUCGGGGGAAAGAUUUAUCGCCUUUAGAGCGGCCCGCGUCUGAUUAGCUAGUUGGUGAGGUAAAGGCUCACCAAGGCGACGACCAGUAGCUGGUCUGAGAGGAUGAUCAGCCACAUUGGGACUGAGACACGGCCCAAACCCCUACGGGAGGCAGCAGUGGGGAAUCUUGCGCAAUGGGCGAAAGCCUGACGCAGCCAUGCCGCGUGAAUGAUGAAGGUCUUAGGAUUGUAAAAUUCUUUCACCGGGGACGAUAAUGACGGUACCCGGAGAAGAAGCCCCGGCUAACUUCGUGCCAGCCGCCGCUGUAAUAC